rnacentral:tRNA from 1 species
GGGGUUGUAGCUCAGUGGUAGAGUGCUUGCCUAGUAUGUGUGAGACACUGGGCUCAAUCCCCAGCACCACA